GUCCUAGCCGUAAACGAUGGGCACUAGGUGUGGGAGGUAUCGACCCCUCCUGUGCCGCAGCUAACGCAUUAAGUGCCCCGCCUGGGGAGUACGGCCGCAAGGUUGAAACUCAAAGGAAUUGACGGGGGCCCGCACAAGCGGUGGAGCAUGUGGUUCAAUUCGACGCAACGCGAAGAACCUUACCAGGGCUUGACAUCCCACGAACCUUCCCGAAAGGGUCGGGUGCCCGCAAGGGAGCGUGGAGACAGGUGGUGCAUGGCUGUCGU
rnacentral:rRNA from 1 species